UGUGCUGUUCUCUCUCCAGUCUCUCCAGUCGUAGCUCCUGGAUCCUCUACAUCAGUCCUAGUAGGAGUGGUUGUGGGUCUGGUUGUUGCUGGUGUUCUACUGGUCAUUCUCCUGGUCCUGCUGUGGAGAUAUCAAAACAGCAAAAGGCCCCCUCAGCCCCAGAGCACCAACCAGGACCCCCAACAGGACCAAGGAUCUACCCAGGGCCAGGCUCCUGAUACUGGGUAUACACAUCAGCAGCAUGAUGCUGCUGGUGCUUCUGCUGCUGGACCAAGUCAUGUGACUUACGUCCAGAUUCAACUGAACAAGUUGGACAAGAAAAAGAAAGUAAAGAGAGAUUAUCCAAAAUAAAAUCCUGUCUACUCUGAGGUGAAGACAGGGGAAACCACAGGUAAGACCCAUUCUACAGGUUGGCAGUCAUUAAAACCUUAAUUCGUAAUUUCUGAUUUUGUGAUGAAGAGGUAGAAUAUGUAUUAAGCUAAUUCCUUCAUUUGUUGACUGGAAAUGUCCAUUGUCAGCAGCAGCUGGACCUGUUGAUGUGACCUAUGCUGAGGGUGACCUCCAAAAGAAGGUCAAAGCCAAUAAGAAGAGAGAAAAAGCAACCCCACCAGCGGCAGAUUGUAUUUUCUUAAGUGAAGCCACACACAGCCCCAGGUUGUUGUUCUAGAAGCUGACAGCCUAGUGAAUGUUCCAGCAGGUGAGAGGCCAGAACCACAGCCCUCUUCCAUCUCUGAAGGUGACAUCAAUCCACGACACUGCAGGGAGACCAGGAGCAGCAGUACCAGCAGUAGCAGGAGGAGAAGAAGUCCAUCCAGGAGACAAAGAGUACACUUCACCAGAAGAGAGGAUAGAACCACAGAGCCCUUCUGAGGCAGAGCCUACAUCAGUCUUCUAUAGUCUUCUACAGCACCGUAUAGAAACCAGCUGCAGCACAUCGCCAUCGAGUGGACAAAGACUGGAAUAACUUCAACAAACCAGACAGUGUACUGGACAAAAGGAGAUACAUUACCCCUCCAUCCCUCUCCAUAGCUAGGUUUCCAUUAAUUUGUCCAGUGAUCUUUUGUUAACAUUUAGCAAGUUUGCAUAGAAAAUAGAUGUGACAAUAGAGGAGGUCCAUAAAGAUGGCGGCCUCCAUGCACUUACCACACAUUCUUUGUUUGGCUAAGUUCAGCGUAUUUUGCAUUGCUCUCCAUUAAUA